CUUGCUCUGCGCGUUAUUAUUAUUCAUCGGAGGGUGCUGCCUCCACAACCUUUGCCUCCUGAGCUCCUCUCCUUCCCCCCGGCCGCCGUCGCCAGCAGUGCGGUCCUUCCUGCACGCAUGCUCUGGUUCACCAAAGGGAGAGUCUGAAUUUUUUUAUCACGCUCAUCACCAUCAUCGUGCUGCUCCUUAUUAUGGUUCUCAUUUUCUCCUGCUUGGUGGAGCGACCACCAGCGCCGUCUCGCCGGCCGCCCGCCCCUUCCACAGAGGAGGAAGCAGUUCGGGCUUGGCUGGGCGGCCGCUCCCAAGAUGCUGCGGCCUUUGCCCCUGUGCCUCCCUCCCUCAGUCCUCUGCUUGUAUACUGUCCUGAUCCCUUUUUUUCCAGUAGACCAUUGCCUUGGGUUGGGCUGACUGAAUCGCUGGGGACUACUACUAGUCUCUUAAAACGGAGAACAAAAAGAUGAAGACCUGGUCUGGACGCCGGGACAAAGCACCUUGGGCUCAACGAAAAGGGACCGCUGGCUCCGGACCACGCGUGACCGCUGUGAAGGGCGUCCGCCGGGCGUGCGCUCCUCUGCGGCAUUCUACACGAGUGACCUUUCGAUCCUCGUCCACCCUUUACCUGCGCGAGGACUGCAGCAGGCGAGUUCCGGAAGGCUGAUUGCCGAGAUCCUGGCCCCGGACCGCUGCAGCUCGCCCCUGCGGCACGCCCGGACCCAGCCUGCGAGGAAAAAGCCUGGAUACGAAAGGAUGGGAAGAACAAAGAGCCUUUGGAAGACGUCGCCGUUAUCUCAUUGUCUGUGUGAUGGGGGGGGCUGCGGUGGGGAGGAUGCCGCGGUCCCUUCCUCCCGGCGCUCCCCCACCCCCAUCCCCUCCCCGCUGUCAACGCGCGCACACGCGUGCUGCUUUUAAUUUUUUAUUUUUCUUCUGUUCUCAUUCCAUCUUCUCCCCACCUUUCCCCUUCCUUCCUUCUUUCCUUCCUUCCUUUCUCCUUUCCUUCCUUCCUUCCUUUCCUUCCUCAGGAGAAAGGCCUCUCUCUCCGUGUUCACAGCGGACCUUGAUUUAAAUGUCCAUACAAUUAAGGCACGCGGUGAAUGCCAAGAAUGGGGCUGGCUGAGCACCGUGGGGCGGCGAGGGCCGCCGAGGCAGGAGCGCCCGGAGCCCGGCGCCCUCCGCAGACCUCGGCGCGGCGGCUUCGGGCGCGAGGGGAGGGGGCGCGGCUUCCCGCCGGCUGCCGGAGCCCCCGGGGUGGGAAGGUGUGCGGGCUGUGGCUCCGGGAGGAAAGAAGCUGAUUCUGGAACCGAGCGUUCUGUGCGCGCCGGGGAGGGGCGGCCUGGGGCGCACUGCGGAGCGCCAGAGUGCGUUUCUCUCUGCGCUCGGGAUUCACUGUGCGUGGGUCAGCAUUUUCCUCCAUGGCUGUGUUUUUGUUCUGCGUUCCGUUUUUUUGUUUUGUUUUGUUUUUUUUGGUUUGCCCUUUUUAAAAAACAACUAAUCUGGCAUCCAGGAGACUGGCAGACUGCCCCGGGGCCUGGGCUGCGGAUGUGUUGUAUCCAGCUUGAGGUUUGGGAGGGGUGGGGUAGCCGGUGAGGAGGGAGGGGGGAGAAGCUGUGUGUCGCCCUUUGCUGUAGAGCAGUGAGCACCUGACAAGAUUAAGGAAAUCUUUGGGCUAUGUGGACGAAAAGGACCAAGCUCCUGGCCCGUCCACAAGCUCCCUCAGGGCUGCAAGGGACUGGACCAAGCACCUUGGCUGUUAACAACAGUUUCAGGCUUUGAUCCAGAAACUACAGAGGAAGGGAGAGGCGCGUUGACUUACAUGGACUCAUGUAGGAUUGCAUUCCUUUUAAAAUGUGAACAGAAGGAAAAACAGAAUGUGUACAGCUGGGGGGCUGAGGAAAGGCCGUUUCAAAGGACGCUAUCAAGGAAUGGAAAGGGUUAAGCUUCACCCAUCCUGGAGACUCUGCCUCCCAAAUCAGGCCUUCCUACUUGUCCCUAGAUCCUGAGCUGCAGCUGGUCUUAGAAACCUUCUCCCCAUACUGGGCUGUCAAAACCCCAUCCCAUUUCCAGCUCUGUAUUAACCACCAAGCCCCUGCCCGGUGGCAAAACCUACAGUGUUAAUUUCCAGGUGGAGAAAAUGGAGGAGGGGGGGUCCCUGAAGCAGACAGCUGAGAAAGGAGGCCAAGAGCUGCUCUUUGCUGCCCAGGAAGAUUGCUGCAUCCUGUCUUCCCCUGGUGCCAGAGACCUGUCUUUGCAAGGCCAAGACCAAAACGGAUGCUUAGUUUAAUUUGAUUCCUGAAGCAGCGUUCAAGGCCUACUGAGGACCUCUUUUCUGAAGCCUCAGUCUAGCCCACUAGAUAAAUUAGUAUUCAGUGAUAUUUUGGAUCAUUAUCCCUCCCUAGCCUCUUUUUCUCCAAAAUAAUUUGUUGAGUACCUACUAUAUGCAGAUUUUUGUGUAAUUAUUACAGUGUAGGCUCUUUCAGUUCCUUCUGAAGGGGGUGUUUAGAGUCAGACAGGUGGAGGUUAAGUGUGCCACACCUCACCUAGAUACUCCCAGAACCUUCUCUGGGUCUGCAGAAUGUGCCACAACCAGCUCACCCUGCAGAGAGAAAGCUGCAGUGCAGCAGCCUGCAGGUGCCUGCGCCUCUUGAGCCCCAGAAGGCAAGCUUGGCUGCAGGACAGAAAGAAAGAGAGAACAGCUUCUCUCACCACCACCACCACCCCCACAGCCUCAGCCCAGGUGGUCCUUAGAGGCUCUGUAACCAUUGCCUUCAAAAUCUACCUUCAUUGAAACUAGUACCCCUCUGAGUCCUGGCAUCCCCCUCUGCCCAUUUUGGACAGGUUCCUGAAGAGGACAGCUGGGGUGUAAACACCCUCACCUCCAAUCUCUCUGCUCCCUGCCAACGACAGUUCUUUUAGGCAUGGUUAUGCCUCUGAUGACCAAACCUCUUGCCCCACAAAUGUCCAAUUAGCUAGCCUCUUCUUCACAACUGCUUCCCUGUAAUUCUUCCAGAAUCCCUGUACCCUUCAUGCCUGUGCCCUCUGGUAAAAUCUGCAGAUGCCUCCCCAGCUAAUGCCCCCUUUAUUUAGGUGGAAACUUGACAUGCUGUUUCCUGAAAGCUGAAACCGCAGGCACCAGGGCCGAGGCCUUCCAGGUUUCUGCUGCAGAUAAUUUAUGGCGGGAGGGGCUUUUAAAAACAUUUUUAUUGCUUAUGUAAACUCUCAUUCCAGAAAGCCUUAAUGUCUGUGGGAGUGUUUGGGGUUUGCAGGGUCUGUGUGCAUUGGUAUGGGGAUCUGCUUGUGUCCACCAGUCUCUUUACAAAAUGUGUUCGUGUGGGGCUUUAAUGGCAGAAGGUGGCAAAGGGAUAAAUGGACCACUUUGCCCUGUGUGUAACUGUGAGGCCUCUUUUGUGUUUGCCAAUCAGAUGUCUGGGUGAAGGUGGGGCUUCCCUUCUGCAUUUGGGGCCUGUGUUGUGCCUACUGGGAAUUAUCCAAGAAACCUCAAGAGCUCUAGCUUUCUGGCUUAAUUCUCAAUGUCAUUUUCUCCUACGUAUCUAUGUGAGCCCCUCUAAUGACAUCUGUGGCAUUAGUGAAGGAGAAAGCACAUGGUUUUUUUAAAGGUGCUCACGGGUGAGGCAGUUUGCUAAGAAGGCCCACAUUGGUUCAUCCUCACCACAGACAUCACGGUCUUCAUCUUGAGCAAGCUCCUAUGUUUCUUAAGGUAACUAUACCAGAUACAUCUAGAUUUAGGAACAUAUCGAAGGAAAUAUUGGUAACAUUCUUCUUUCCCCUGCCAGAAACAGCCCAGAUCUCUUUUUAAGCGGAAAAGAAAUUCACUCUUUCACAGAGGCAAAGGUAAACUCCUGUAUGUCAUUUCUAUUUCUGGGGUGGGGGUACAGCUUCUGUGAAUGCAUGAGCUGUUUUAGCCAGAGAGAUAUUUGGGGAAGGGUCAUGUCCUCAGCAGACAUACACCCCUAUACAUACAUUUUUUGCAUAUAACCAUAUCCGCUGUUAGUACUUAGAGCAGUGUUUUUCAACCUUCUUUAUCUCACGGCACACUUGAACCUAUAGUUAAACGUCCACCGCACACUUAAAUCAUGCUGAUCAAAAAUAAAGAGUAGAAAAAAAAGAAUAUAUUUACUGUGCUUUGAACUUCUUUCGAAAAUAAUUUAACAAUCUUUAAAAAUUUUCACGGCACAUCUAAGAUCCUCUUAUAUCACUGAUUGAAAAUCACUGAUUGGAGGAAAGCAUUUAACCACCAAAAAAAAAAAAUCCAUCCAGCUAUACUGACUCUAAGGGAAAUUGUUCUUUCCCUUUAUUGAACUUACAUAAUAACCCCCCCCCACCUUAGAAUGGAGUCCUCUGGGGGCAGCUGCAAAACCAGAUGGAACCUCCCCUUCCUAAUCUACUCUGUGGGUGGUUUUAGAGCCUGGUGAGUCAACACAGGCUGGCUGAGUUGUGCUGGUGGUGUGUGUCGGAGGCUUGGCUGGCUGAUUUCAUGGUGACCAGCAUGUCAACAAUAACAACGAUGAGAAUUUUGGUCCUAAUAAAGAUUUUUUUUUCUUUCAAGUCCCAUCUACAAUUCUUUCAUUGGGUGUUUUGCCAAGUCUUAAUCUGAUUUCAGGGUUUUUUGGGUUUGUUUUUUUUUUAAGAAAACAUAUGUAACACUUAAUUGCAUCAUGAACAUAGACCUUAUAGCAAGAAAAAAGGACUUCAAAUAGAAUAUUUUAAAGGCAAUAUGCACCACUUUGUACCCUAUACGGGUGUGCUGGAGGCCUGCAGAGAUCUCAGAGGACCAAAUUUAGAUGGCCUCAAAAAAAGAAAAGAAAAACCAGGCCUUAUUGAGAAUAAAGAAUGUUCCAGUGUUUCUUGGCCAGGCCGCUCUGCAGGAGCCGGUAGCAGCGGGAUCGCUGCCCCGGUCCACCUGCCCAGGGCGCGCCAACAUCACCUCCCACGGCGCCCAAGCCAGGCUUUUCUUUUCCUUGGAAUGCACCCGGAGACAUCCGUCCACUCUGAGCAAGGUGGAGAUGGACCGGCGCUGGUUUCCCUGUUAAUUUUUGCUCCCGUGUUUUCCCAGCUUUGAUUUAUUUUUUCUUUCCCGAAUCCUGCAGACUUGAGAACCCUGAGGGGUCGGUCAUCCCGCAUUUCCCAAAGCUUUGGUGCAGGGAGGCAGGAUUUGCUUCAGUCCUGUUCCAGGAUGCGCCCAAGUCAAAGUCGGGACAGUGCCACCAAAGGAAGGGCCAGACCAGGAGAGGCCACCUUGUCCCCUUUCAGUGCACCUCAGCACUAUUAAGUCAUGUGCCCGGCCAGACCCAAGGCCUGGGGUGGGGAGGGCAGCUUUUGCAAGGGCAGAGGUAUGAUAUGUCCCCCUCACCACCAGCAGUCUCCAGACUGGCGCAGGCCCAGCCGCUGCGCCCUCCCCGCCCUGUCCCUCUCCCUUCAUCUGCCUCUGGGCCUCCUACGGCACCUGGGGCCUCCAUGACCCCAUCCCGCACCCUGGAAACGUCGCCCAGAAAGCCUCGGAACGCUGGAGAGAAGAGGCUGGCGGGUGCACCAGGCAGAGUGCAAGCCAAAGGGCAGGUUGAGACAGAAAAAGUCGCUUUGUGGCCGCGACGAAGGCCUCGCCCCAGCAGAGCACACGAAAUUGCUUUAAGGGUAGGGUUUGGGGGAGAUUUUUUCAUCCCAGCGCCUGUUUUGAACAGCCUUCCCUUUACAACACCUUCCCUCCAGCCUGCUCUACC